rnacentral:lncRNA from 1 species
AUGUACCAGGAAAGGGAAGAGAAGGGAACAAGGACACCUGAGCUGCUGGGCUUCCAUCUCCUUCACUCACUGAGGUCAAUGUUGGCUCCUGGACAAGGCGACAGACACCUCCUCCCACCUCCUUCAGCAGCCCCAGUAGGGAUGGAACCCAGCAAGACGUCUCCAUGGUCUUGCUGGGAGGCUGGAAACUUCACUAAAGCCACAUGGCAGCAUUGCCAGAGCCUGGCUCAUCCUCCACAAGCUCUUUGCCUUCCCAAGGUCUCUGCCAGGCCCUUGUCAUGCAUCUCCAUCACAUGCACUGCUCCUGUGCCCACUUUGGAUGCUGCAGACACCUUCCAGGUACAGAGAGCAAAUGCUGCCUGUCCAAGCCAGCCUCUGCAGAGCCUUUCAGCUGGCAAUAUAAGAAUAAGCAACCACCUAUAUUUCCCCUGAGGUUGGAUAAGCUUUCCCUCUUUGUGACAUUGCUGUUCGCCAUGGAUCAAUUUCUUCCCUGCCAGCCUUUGCUUCUUUCUAUAGUGGAUUAAAUUGCUUUGAUUAAAUGAAAAUGCUGGUAUAUUACCAGGGAGGCUCAGGGCUUCUUUAUCAUGCAAACAAACUGCACAGAGGUGGGCAGGACAGCCAUCAAGCAGGAGCUGCACACUGCAGAGAGAACUGUUACACAGAACGUUCGUCCCUGCACUUCAUUAUCUCAUGGCAAUAAAUUUUAUAUCUCAGCUUUCUUUUCCUAUUGC